GAGUUUGAUCAUGGCUCAGGAUGAACGCUAGCGGCAGGCCUAAUACAUGCAAGUCGAACGGAGCAGCAAUGCUCAGUGGCGCACGGGUGCGUAACGCGUAUGCAACCUACCGCUUCCUGGGGGAUAGCCCACCGAAAGGUGGAUUAAUACCGCAUAAGAAUACAGAAUGGCAUCAUUUAGUAUCUAAAGAUUUAUCGGGAAGCGAUGGGCAUGCGUGACAUUAGUUUGUUGGUGAGGUAACGGCUCACCAAGACUACGAUGUCUAGGGGUUCUGAGAGGAAGAUCCCCCACACUGGUACUGAGAUACGGACCAGACUCCUACGGGAGGCAGCAGUAGGGAAUAUUGGGCAAUGGAGGCAACUCUGACCCAGCCAUGCCGCGUGAAGGAAGAAGGCUUUCUGAGUUGUAAACUUCUUUUGACAGGGAGGAAACACCGCUACGUGUAGCGGGACUGACGGUACCUGUAGAAUAAGCACCGGCUAACUCCGUGCCAGCAGCCGCGGUAAUACGGAGGGUGCAAGCGUUGUCCGGAUUUAUUGGGUUUAAAGGGUGCGUAGGCGGCCCGUUAAGUCAAUGCUGAAAGCCUGUGGCUUAACCAUAGGACUGGCAAUGAUACUGGCGGGCUUGAGUACAGACGAGGUAGGCGGAAUUGAUAAUGUAGCGGUGAAAUGCAUAGAUAUUAUCAGGAACUCCGAUUGCGAAGGCAGCUUACUAGGCUGUAACUGACGCUGAGGCACGAAAGUGUGGGGAG
rnacentral:rRNA from 1 species